rnacentral:lncRNA from 1 species
GUAUGUGUCCAGCCGGUCUCCUGGAGAGCACAUGACAGAAACCCACCUGAAACGAGAUUAGGAGAGAGGCGAAGAGGACUAACCUGCUCGUGUAACCCAAACUGCAAGGAGAACAGACGCAGAGUGGCUGGAACAAACAGAGCUCUCCAGCUCUUUUUUCUGCUUCUCUCCAGAAGUCAGUUCCAUUCUGGUCCACAGCACCCUAGUUCCUUCCACAAGGCUGCUGGAACAACGGCUGCUACUGGACCUUGGCCCCAAAUGUUUCCAGCUUCAGGAAUAGGAUCUGUUGGAGCAACUCUCACAGAGAAGCCGUCUUUCUGCCAGUUCCCUUGAGUUAGUUGCCAGGGAAACCUCAAGGUGAGCGAGGAAGCUGUGAGAUCCACGGAGUUGGCCCGGGCUGAGGACACGGCUGCCGGUGUCCUUGGGAGCUGUUCUGGCAUCCCUCUAACCUCCUUCGCCUCUCCCAGAGCCUGUGGAGAGCUUCCACGGUGGUUCCCACAAUUAUAUGGGCCUCCUGGGGACUUUCCUCACUCAAAGCCAAAACUCAAGGCACGCUCCACCCAGAAGCAAACCAACAGUGGCAUCAACUAACCGCAGCCCUGACCUUUGGGGUUCCUGUGUGGCCUCCCUCUUGGCCAUCACGUUCCUAGUGCAAAUAUUUUCUUAGCUGCAGGCCCAGAGACUGACCUUUCCCAUAUCACAGGACAUCUUCAUCAAAGAGAGGAGACCAGA